UCGAAUNCGGUUGAGGUAGAUGGAACGUGACAUGUAGCNGUGAAAUGCUUAGAUAUGUCACAGAACACCAAUUGCGAAGGCAGUCUACUAANCCGUCANUGACSCUGAGGCACGAAAGCGNGGGGAUCAAACAGGAUUAGAUACCCUGGUAGUCCACNCCCUAAACUAUGUUUACUCGACAUUUGACCAUUAGGAUUAGGCGGCUAGCGAANNCGUAAGUAAACCACCUGGGGAGUACGUACGC
rnacentral:rRNA from 1 species